rnacentral:rRNA from 1 species
UACGUAGGGUGCGAGCGUUGUCCGGAAUUACUGGGCGUAAAGAGCUUGUAGGUGGUUUGUCGCGUUGUUCGUGAAAUCUCACGGCUCAACUGUGAGCGUGCGGGCGAUACGGGCAGACUAGAGUACUGCAGGGGAGACUGGAAUUCCUGGUGUAGCGGUGGAAUGCGCAGAUAUCAGGAGGAACACCUAUAGCGAAGGCAGCUUGCUGGGACGUUACUGACGCUAAGGCGCGAAAGCGUGGGGAGCGAACAGG